rnacentral:rRNA from 1 species
GAUGAACGCUAGCGGCAGGCUUAACACAUGCAAGUCGAGGGGUAUAGUAGCAAUACUAGAGACCGGCGCACGGGUGCGUAACGCGUAUGCAAUCUACCUUUUGCAGAGGGAUAGCCCAGAGAAAUUUGGAUUAAUACCUCAUAGUAUAUAUGGAUGGCAUCAUUUAUAUAUUAAAGUCACAACGGCAAAAGAUGAGCAUGCGUCCCAUUAGCUUGUUGGUAAGGUAACGGCUUACCAAGGCAACGAUGGGUAGGGGUCCUGAGAGGGAGAUCCCCCACACUGGUACUGAGACACGGACCAGACUCCUACGGGAGGCAGCAGUGAGGAAUAUUGGACAAUGGGCGCAAGCCUGAUCCAGCCAUGCCGCGUGCAGGAUGACGGUCCUAUGGAUUGUAAACUGCUUUUGCACAGGAAGAAACAACGCUACGUGUAGCGUCUUGACGGUACUGUGAGAAUAAGGAUCGGCUAACUCCGUG